GAGUUUGAUCCUGGCUCAGAACGAACGCUGGCGGCACGCCUAACACAUGCAAGUCGAGCGCUUUCCUUCGGGAAGGAGCGGCGGACGGGUUAGUAACGCGUGGGAACAUACCCUUUUCUAUGGAAUAGCCUCGGGAAACUGAGAGCAAUACCAUAUACGGCCUUCGGGCGAAAGAUUUAUCGGUGAAGGAUUGGCCCGCGUUAGAUUAGAUAGUUGGUGGGGUAAUGGCCUACCAAGUCUACGAUCUAUAGCUGGUUUGAGAGGAUGAUCAGCAACACUGGGACUGAGACACGGCCCAGACUCCUACGGGAGGCAGCAGUGGGGAAUCUUAGACAAUGGGCGCAAGCCUGAUCUAGCGAUGCCGCGUGAGUGACGAAGGUCUUAGGAUCGUAAAGCUCUUUCGCCAGGGAUGAUAAUGACAGUACCUGGUAAAGAAACCCCGGCUAACUCCGUGCCAGCAGCCGCGGUAAUACGGAGGGGGUUAGCGUUGUUCGGAAUUACUGGGCGUAAAGCGCACGUAGGCGGACUAAUAAGUUAGAGGUGAAAUCCCAGGGCUCAACCCUGGAACUGCCUUUAAUACUGUUAGUCUAGAGUUCGAGAGAGGUAAGUGGAAUUCCGAGUGUAGAGGUGAAAUUCGUAGAUAUUCGGAGGAACACCAGUGGCGAAGGCGGCUUACUGGCUCGAUACUGACGCUGAGGUGCGAAAGUGUGGGGAGCAAACAGGAUUAGAUACCCUGGUAGUCCACACCGUAAACGAUGAAUGCCAGACGUCGGGGGGCU
rnacentral:rRNA from 1 species